AGAGUUUGAUCCUGGCUCAGAACGAACGCUGGCGGCGCGUUUUAAGCAUGCAAGUCGAGCGGCAAGGGCCUUCGGGCCCCUAGAGCGGCGGACGGGUGAGUAACACGUGGACAAUCUGCCCCCCGGCCCGGGAUAGCCCAGGGAAACCUGGAUUAAUACCGGAUGAGACGGGACCCGCGAUGGCGGGACCCGGGAAAGGCGCUGCGGCGCCGCCGGGGGAUGAGUCUGCGUCCCAUUAGCUAGACGGCGGGGUAACGGCCCACCGUGGCGACGAUGGGUAGCCGGCCUGAGAGGGUGGACGGCCACAUUGGAACUGAGACACGGUCCAGACUCCUACGGGAGGCAGCAGCUAAGAAUCUUCCGCAAUGGGCGAAAGCCUGACGGAGCGACGCCGCGUGAACGAAGAAGGCCGUGAGGUUGUAAAGUUCUUUUCGGGAGGGGGAACAACCGUGGCAGGGAAUGGCCGCGGGAUGACGUGAAUCCCGGAAUAAGCCCCGGCUAACUACGUGCCAGCAGCCGCGGUAACACGUAGGGGGCGAGCGUUGUUCGGAAUCAUUGGGCGUAAAGGGCGUGCAGGCGGUCCUGCAAGUCCGGCGUGAAAGACCCCGGCCCAACCGGGGGGGCGCGCUGGAAACUGGAGGGCUUGAGUACAGGAGGGGAUGCCGGAAUUCCAGGUGUAGGGGUGAAAUCUGUAGAUAUCUGGAAGAACACCAAUGGCGAAGGCAGGCAUCUGGCCAUGUACUGACGCUGAGACGCGAAGGUGCGGGGAGCAAACAGGUUUAGAUACCCUGGUAGUCCGCACAGUAAACGAUGUGCACCAGGUGGCGGGGGGUCGACCCCCGGUACCGUAGCUAACGCAUUAAGUGCACCGCCUGGGGAGUAUGCUCGCAAGGGUGAAACUCAAAGGAAUUGACGGGGGCCCG
rnacentral:rRNA from 1 species